CCUGUGGUGAAAGAAACAGCACUGACGUCAGCAAUAAAGUACAUACAUGUGCUUCUGGCCGGACACCCAAGAAAGAGAAAUGCCCGCUGCCUCCAAAGAGAGGGACUGCAGCUGGGGGCAGGGAGAGCUGCGCAACUUCCUCAGGAACCUUUGGGAUUCAAACCACAUGGAUCCAGGAAUUGGUAGAAAAGCAGUACCAAAUGACAUGCCUCCAUGAGAAGAGGGCUUCUUCUGCCACACACUCCCAACAUGGUGUACUGCUUCACCACAGGCCCAACAGUGACAGUGUCAACGGACCAUGAUCUGAAACCUACAAAACUGUCAGCUCAAACAAACCUUUCCUCUUCUUAAGUUGAUUAUCUAAGGUAUUUUGUUAGAGUAACAGAAAACUAACUAACACAUCCAUCAAACAAUCUCAAAUGAUAUUUGAGUCUGAUACUAUGAUAUCAGACCCCAAGUUAUCACUUUAGUAGAGCUAAGUCUAUACCAAGCAACUGGAUCAACGCAUGAGGCCAAAGGUUACCUAAAGUCAAGGGUGCACUGUCCUUACCACCAGCUAUUUAAACUAUAACUCAGACUAUCCUGGUUAUGUAUGUGACUCAGUAAAACAAUACUGCAGGACUAAGGCAAAAUGUUUACCACAUUCAGGAGGGGAUGUGAGACCCCAGGCUGACCCUUGUUCCUAGAGAAGCUACAUGCACUAACUGUAUUAUGCCCUCCCUGACAAGAAGCAAUCAUAGCUUUCAGAGCUGGGAUUUAUUUUUCUCAUACAAGCAGCCUGACUUCAUCCUGCUCUUCUGGCUUCUCAACUACAGAAAUUGUCAGUCAUUGUCCCAGAAUUCCUUUUGGAAUUCCAACUAGCUGGAAAAGCAUGGCUGGGUUUAGGACAACAGUCUCAGCUCUCUCUCCAGAACAAUUACUGGUCCACAUUCUUUAGAGGAAAGAAAAUGACAAUCAAUGUGAUAUAACUUCAAGGAAAUUAUAAAUACUUCUCAUCUAAAUACUGCUAAAUUAUAAUUUAGUUCAAUUUUGGUUUGUUUUGUUUUUUGAGACAGUGUUUCACUACUUUGCCCAGGUCAGUCUUGAACUCUGGGCUCAAGCCAGCCUUGGGAGUAGCUGGGACUGCAGGCACAAGCCACUGACCAGUUGUAACUCAGGGAUUUUAUGUUGCCUCUGUAAUAAAUAUUUCGUUUGAAGGCAGGGCAAGUGUUCUACCACUGAGCUAUAUCCCCAGCCCUGGAAGUCAAAUGCUAUGAUUCUGAUGCUAACCAACUAUCUAUCCACUGGGGUUUUUAUCAUAAGGCAUGAUGGUGAGAUUACCCAAAGAAUGACUAGAUUUUGGCCACCUAAAAAGCAUAAUUGAGCCAAAGUGGUACACUCCUGUAAUCCCAGCAAUUUGGGAGGCUGAGGCAAGAGGAUAGAAAGUUCAAAGCCAACUUAGCAACUUAGUGAGACCCUGUCUCAAAAGAAAAAAAUUUUUUAAAAGGGCUAGGGAUGUGGCUCAGUGGUAAAGCACCCCUGGGUUCAAUCCCCAGUACCAAAAUAAAGCAUAAUUAAACUAUGAACUCAAAACUGUGAGCUCAUUAAUUCUAUUUCCUCCUUUUCCUAUAAACUUCACCAGAAACAAAGUCAACUUUCAUUAACAGGGCCACUCAAUGUUACCCCCCCACUAAGAACAUGAUAAAGAUGGUGGCCCUCCCUGUGAAAAGCUGGUAGAGUAUUCAUCAUAGGACUCAUGCGCUGAAAGGAGAAAAGUGCUAAAUGGUUUUUUCUUACCUGGGACAUAUUUAAAAUUUUCAGAGUGAAAUUCUCCAACCCUGUCACAUUCCUCUCCUCACAGUUCACCUUUGGGGACUUGAGGCUCUCGGUGUUAUUGGUGUCCUCUGCAGGGGCAGGAUCAGGUUCCACCACCUCAGGCUCCGCAUAGUACUCUUCUUCUCUUUCAGGGAAGCUUGUCCCACCUCUGUCCAGAGAGAAGAGGCUGUCUCGGGCGCUGCACCUUGAGUCUUCCUCUCCAUCAGCACCACAGGUGCCACCACUGGGCUCCGAGCUCCGUCUGUCCUCAGCUUCCCCAGGAAUCACAGACAGCACCACCAUGGGAUCUCGGUUAGCAUCCAGCCCCAGCCCAGCACCAGCCUCCUCCGCAGCCCUGUCCUGGCCCGUGCGGUCAUGUAGGGGCUCCUCCUCGCUCAGGUACACAGCCCCUGCCUGGAGAUGGGAAGCCGGCUGCCCCUCUGACCAUAUGUGAUCAUUUUUCUCUGCAACUAAAACAUGCCAGCAUGUUCAGUGACACUCGACUCAAAAAUAAAUGAACUCUUCAAAAAAUGAAAUUUUCGCCUGUGGAGAAAAAGUUAUGCUUCCCAUCAGACUAUCAGAGAGCUAUCACCAUUCUCCUUUUCAGGAAGAUUGUCACCAAUCUAGACUAAUGGAUACCAAAUAAGUAGACAAAUACAUAGGUUCACCUGGACCCUAGUGCCUGCCUUAUGGGUUAUAACCAAAACAUUCUGGUGCAGACAUCUGAUCAGGAAAAUAUGAUAUAAACACUUCAACAUUUUCGUUUGCUUGAUGAGAAUACUUAAUAAAAUAAUUGUUAUUGCUGU